rnacentral:rRNA from 1 species
CGUCGGGAAAUCCACUCGCCUAACGAGUGGGCGUCCGGCGGAAACUACAGGGCUUGGGACCGGAAGACUUGAGGGGUACGUCUGGGGUAGGAGUGAAAUCCUGUAAUCCUGGACGGACCGCCGAUAGCGAAAGCACCUCAAGACGACGGAUCCGACAGUGAGGGACGAAAGCUAGGGUCUCGAACCGGAUUAGAUACCCG